UCUCCGUUGGUGAACCAGCGGAGGGAUCAUUACAGAGUUGCAAAACUCCCAAACCAUUGUGAACGUUACCUAUCCCGUUGCUUCGGCGGGCGGCCCGGGCCCCGCGCCCGGCACCCCCCGGCCCCCCGUGGGCGCCCGCCGGAGGUAAACCAAACCCUUGAAUUGCAUGGCCUCUCUGAGUCUUUUGUACUGAAUAAGUCAAAACUUUCAACAACGGAUCUCUUGGUUCUG
rnacentral:misc_RNA from 1 species